GAGAAGACUUGGAAAAAACUUAUUAAAGGUGAAGAGUAAAAGUAGGCUUGGGGUUUUCACAUGAACCCCUAUUAAUUGAUGUUUAGUAUUAGGUCUUGGAAAUGGUGUUAUCUACUUUAAUGUUGAGGGACUAUGAAUUAGAGAUUUUAGAAUGUUUGUACAACUCUACAGGAAAGUUGGUUUGGGUUUCACAACAAGUAUGUUAUUAUUUGGGAUAAUGAGGACCAAUCAUAUCGAGCAUUUUUU
rnacentral:misc_RNA from 1 species